rnacentral:rRNA from 1 species
AUGCAAUUUGACAUUGAAGAGGAUAGUGAAAACACAAACUGGUUUUCUAGCAAUAAUACAUUCAGUCAAGUGGAGGCAAACCCGACUCAAGGAAAUGACUUGACAUUACAUGCUCCAUCCCAAGUUGAAACAGUACCAAUUUCCUCACAGCGCGUUGGACAGACUUUGCAUGAAAUUCCACAAGUUGUACAUAGCAAUCCUCGACCAGCUAGCUCAGCUCCUGAGGUUACUAGCACCAAGAGAGCGAGAAAGCAAAAGACGACCAGUAUUGGCGAUUUUCAUGAGAGAUACCUGAAACUGAGAAGGGAAGAAAUAGAUAGGUAUGCAGCCAUUGAGGAGAGGAAAUUAAGGGACCCGUUCAGCAUCAAGAAAUGCAUCAAAGCACUAGAAAGGUUGGAGGGUCUUUCGAUGGCAGAUAUGCUAAAAGCAGCGGACAUCUUUACUACCAACAAGGAGAACAGGGAGAGAUGUACCUUGCAUCCUGGAGAAGGUGAUUUUCACGCAGUUUUUGUGCUAAAGCUUGAAAGAUUGAUCUCUCCAUAUGGAACCUCCAUUCACAUAGAACCUCAUGGCCAGUAA